UUACACUGAUGUAAUAGAGCAAAAUUUACCCCAGUGACUUCUGAGUCUUCUACCAAUUGCAUAAGUUUGACAUCAGCUAAAAUAACACAGUCUGGACACAACUUAAUGUCAGGUUUUUCAUUGUAAAACAUCACUGAAGCUAUACUUGUCUAGCACUCCAGGCAGCUGGCAUCUUCAAGGAAUGGGUUUAGUUAAUGGAAAAGGUUUUGCUUGAAGUUUGCCAGCGAGAGAUCAUCGAGUUCUAGACAACACAUACUAAGUUCAUCUGAACCUUCCAUCUUAAGAAUCUGUGGAGCAAACACAUAAAUUUUCUCCUUAAAAUUUCCUUCAUUCCCUUGAUGGCUGACAGCAACAUUGCCGCUGAAAUUGUUGUUGAGUGCUCCUGUUCCUUGGCACAAGGAGAAUGGGAAUAGUAACUCCCAAUUAGCUGAGGUGGCUAAGAAAAUCAUCAUAUAUUCUGAAUGAUGAAAGAUCACAGAAGGAGGUCCACUAAUGGAUGACAGGUGCAGCAGUGAAUGGCAUCUAAAGAGUGCAAGCCAAAAUCUAAGACAUCUCUGGAUAUCAUCAUUCAUUUUAAACAGCACGAGGUCAAAAAGAAAAGUGAGACCUAUGGUUUAGAAGGUGUUGAAAAUGACCUCUUUUUUAACCUCACUGAUUAUUCUUCUUUAAAUAAAGAUAUUGAAAAUCAGUUGCAAGUAGAAAAUAAAAUGUUAGACUAGGAUUCCUAAAGCUUGGCAUAAUGGGAGCACUGAGGCACAGAGAAUCUUAACAGCUUCUAAAUUCUAAUUACUCUAGAAGAUUUCUGGGAAUUCUGUUCUG